rnacentral:rRNA from 1 species
UAAUACGAAGGGACCUAGCGUAGUUCGGAAUUACUGGGCUUAAAGAGUUCGUAGGUGGUUGAAAAAGUUGGUGGUGAAAUCCCAGAGCUUAACUCUGGAACUGCCAUCAAAACUUUUCAGCUAGAGUAUGAUAGAGGAAAGCAGAAUUUCUAGUGUAGAGGUGAAAUUCGUAGAUAUUAGAAAGAAUACCAACUGCGAAGGCAGCUUUCUGGAUCAUUACUGACACUGAGGAACGAAAGCAUGGGUAGCGAAGAGGAUUAGAUACCCUCGUAGUCCAUGCCGUAAACGAUGUGUGUUAGACGUUGGAAAUUUAUUUUCAGUGUCGCAGGGAAACCGAUAAACACACCGCCUGGGGAGUACGACCGCAAGGUUA